rnacentral:rRNA from 1 species
UGGGGGAUAUUGCACAAUGGGCGAAAGCCUGAUGCAGCGACGCCGCGUGGGGGAUGAAGGCUUUCGGGUUGUAAACCUCUUUCGCUAUCGAACAAGGCCCGCUUAGGGUGGGUUGAGGGUAGGUGGAGAAGAAGCGCCGGCUAACUACGUGCCAGCAGCCGCGGUAAUACGUAGGGCGCGAGCGUUGUCCGGAAUUAUUGGGCGUAAAGGGCUGGUAGGCGGCUUGUUGCGCCUGCUGUGAAAACGCGGGGCUUAACUUCGCGCGUGCAGUGGGUACGGGCAGGCUUGAGUGUGGUAAGGGUGACGGGAAAUCCAGGUUUAGCGGUGGAAUGGGCAGGUGUCUGGAGGAACACCGAGGGCGGAGGCAGGUCACUGGGCCAGUACUGACGCUGAGGAGGGAAAGCAUGGGUAGGGAACAGG